rnacentral:rRNA from 1 species
GUNAUACUAGUGGCNAGCNUUUCCGGAUGANUGGNGUAANGGAGCGCAAGUGGAAAAUUAAUUCCUCUUAAAANUUNGGGNUCAACCCCGUGAUGGGAGAGAAACUACAUUUCUUGAGUGCAGGAGAGGAAAGCGGAAUUCCUAGUGUAGCGGUGAAAUGCGUAGAUAUUAGGAGGAACACCAGUGGCGAAGGCGGCUUUCUGGACUGUAACUGACACUGAGGUACGAAAGUGUGGGGAGCAAACAGGAUUAGAUACCCUGGUAGCCCACGCCGUAAACGAUGAGUGCUAAGUGUUGGGGGGUUUCCGCCCCUCAGUGCUGCAGCUAACGCAUUAAGCACUCCGCCUGGGGAGUACGGUCGCAAGACUGAAACUCAAAGGAAUUGACGGGGGCCCGCACAAGCGGUGGAGCAUGUGGUUUAAUUCG